AUGCCUUCGAGACAUCGAGGCUACAGUAAAGAUGGAGUUAUUUCUUUCAGGAAGAGUCCACCCUACCUAAAAAAAUCGCCCUCAGCCACUGAUGUACAUCACAACUCUACCUUGGAAGUAUAUAUAAGUAUGGUGUACAGUGCACACAAACGAGGACUACGGCCUAUGGAAUAUGUGUUCCUGGACCUGCUGCCAUGUCAAGUCAUGAGAGAUUUGAUCAAAACAUGUUUCAGGAAGGAUACAUACAACGAUUUUGCUGAGGCAAUGGAUCUGGAAGAGAUGGGGGUACUUGUUCAUGUGUCAUGCUCGUUUAAGAGCCUCAUUGCUUAUUCCCAUAAAAUCUUGUUCAGGAGCCCAGCAGCAGAUAGAAAAGAUGACAUGGACCACGAUAAAGAUUUAAGAAUCUUUCAGUUCAAAUGUCUCUCCUGCAACCAUUGUUUCUAG
rnacentral:rRNA from 1 species